UCCUGGAGCACAUCGGAGAUCAACACAGUCUUAGCCCGGAGCCAAGACUGCUGUCACCCACGUUUUUGACGCUGCCUGGCAACUUCCGGUGCUGCUGUGCUUACUGGGAGGAAGAGGCGGGUCCUAGAUGGCUGGCGCUUGCGCAGUCGGCCUGGUGGAGAGCAAGACGGUAUUAUCUGCUGGUGGCGGCAUGUCAUCGGCAGCCGGAAUUCUCGGCUGAUGGCGGCGUUUUCGGCAGCUGUACUGGCCCAGAGAGUGCGGGAGUGAAGACAUUUUCAUCAAUAUGAAAUUGGACACUGAGUUGACAAGGAAGUUCAGCUGCUGGGUAAUCUUCCAUUUCUGGAACCUCCUUGGCUUCCUGGUAAAACCCAGCUGUGCCUUCACCCUGGACAGGAGCAACUGACGUUUUCAUGGAUAUGAAAUUGGACACUGAGUUGACAAGGAAGUUCAGCUGCUGGGUAAUCUUCCAUUUCUGGAACCUCCUUGGCUUCCUGGUAAAACCCAGCUGUGCCUUUACCCUGGACAGGAGCAACUGAGCACGGAUGUGAAACUCACCCAGAGUGGACGCUGAAGCUCAGCUGCUGGGUGUUCUUCCAGUUCUGGAGACUGCACAGCUUCCUGCUCAAUGUCAGCUGGACCUUCUUCCGGGAGAGAAGCAACUGUUCUGCCAUAUGACGGUGCACGGACAUUAGCCACCGAAGCUUCACCAGACACGGAGUCCCCUAACACUGUGACCUUGGACUUACCAGCCUCCAAAAGACCGUCGGACACAUUGCUGGGGAAAGCCAGACAUGAGCCUCCUUCAGCACCGGACAGAGCCUAGGAUCCGGCUGGGCUCAGGACCUCCCCUCCCAUCUCUAGUCCCAUGAGGAAUGUUUGUUCCCGUUCUCUGCUGGGGGAGUUUUUUCAUGGCGGGGCCUCAUCCUCGACGAAGCUGUGGGACUCAGAGCCAGGCUCUGUGUGGCCCGACGAUCCUGCUGACCCGGCCUCCUGCAGACCAUGGGCCGCCAUACCCCUGGCCGCAUUUCCAGCUUUUCAAGUGGGAAGAAACCACCCCGCGUCCCAGGACUUGCACUUCUGUGGGCCAUCCUCAGCAAGACAUUUUCAUGGAUAUGAAACUGGACACCGAGUUGACGCUGAAGUUCAGCUGCUGGGUAAUCUUCCAUUUCUGGAGCUUGCUCAGCUUCCUUGUAAAACCUGGCUGGGCCUUUGCCCUGGACAGGAGCAACUGGUUCGGCGGCAGCGGGGGUGGGCAGCGGCUCAGCCAUGAGGAAGCCAAGAAGCGAUGUCUGCCUCCCCUCCUCCCUCCCAGAGGACCUGGAUGUGAAACUAACCCAGAGUGGAUGCUGAAGCUCAGCUGCCAAGUAAUCUCCCAUUCCCAGAGAGACUGCACAGCUUCCUGCUCAAUGCCAGCUGGGCCUUCUUCCUGGAGAGGAGCAACUGGGGCCCAAGCCUUUGGGCCAUCUUCCAUUGCUUUCUCAGGCCAUCAGCAAGGAAAAGGAUCGGAAGUGGAGAAGCUGGACUUGAACUGGUGCCCAUAUGGGAUGCCAGCACCACAAUGGAUGCUUAACCUACUAUGCCACAGUUCCGGCCCCAGUGUUCUGUUCUUAACCACUGGUUUGUCCAAGUUAUCAAACAGUGUUUUCUAGGAGUAUAUUUGCAGCAAUAGUGAUACACAUUGGCAUUUUUUUUGUUGUUUUUGUGUUUUGAAUGUUUCAAAAAGUUAACUUCCACAUGUAAGGUAAUACAUGUGGUAUUUUUCUUUUUCUGGCUGAUUUCUCUAAGAUGAAGUCCUCCAGUAACUCCAUUUUGAUGCACUUGAUAAAAUUUCAUUAUUUUUAAGUCCUGAAUAACAUUUGAUCAUUAAUCUAUAACAUUUUUUUGCUUAGUAAUUCAUCUGAUGAUGGAAAUCUUUGUUUAAUCUUCAUAAAUAAAUCCUUGUUUAUUCCUUGUGGCUGCUGUGAACCAUAUUGCAAUAAACAUGGUGGUGGUGGUAUCUGUUUUUUUUUUUCUUUUUUUGGACAGGCAGAGUUAGUAAGAGAGAGACAGAGAGAAAGGUCUUCCUUUCUGUUGGUUCACCCUUCAAAUGGCUGCUACAGCUGGUGUGCUGCACCAAUCCAAAACGAGGAGCCAGGUGCUUCCUCCUGGUCUCCCAUGCAGGUGCAGGGCCCAAGGACCUGGGCCAUCCUCCACUGCCUUCCCAGGCCACAGCAGAGAGCUGGACUGGAAGAGGAACAACCAGGACAGAAUCUGGUGCCCCAACUGGGACUAGAACCCGGGGUGCCAGCACCACAGGUAGAGGAUUAACCAAGUGAGCCGUGACACCAGCCAAUCUCUUUUAUUUUUUUUAUAAGAGGAGAGAGUUUUACCACUUCUGUUGUCAUACUCUCAUGCUCACCUUCUCUGCUCCAAGGAGACCAGUUGCAGAGCUCUAGCCCCAGUGAGUGUUGUAUUCGUCCACACUGCCACAAGAACACACAAAGCAUCGGUGCAGUUCACAGUGUGAGCCUGGAUCCUGCAGCAAUGACUCUCACCAGAGAAUCAGGGCAACCUGAGCAUGUGGAGCAGCCCAGAAUGACUGCCCAGGGACCCAGCCACACCCUGCACCCUUCCAUGCAGCCACAGUGUUUUCACAGUCCCAGCACACAAGGCUCCCGCAGUCAAAACUGCCCAGACCCCUGUCAGUUCUCCCAGCAGACUCAGGCGUCUCAUCUCAGCUGGUUGCUGGGUACCUGGACACAAGCUGGAACUGCUGAUAAAUAUGUCCAAAGUGGUUCCCGCCAUACCUCAGCUAGUUACAGGAUACCGAUGCAGGGUGGCUCAGGGAGAUAGAAAUAUAUGCCCCCCCCCUUUAUUCUUCUAGGUGGCAGGUACACUGUCCCCCACAGGGCUCCAAGCCAAACUCAUUCCAGGCUGUUCCCUCAGCUUUAUUGCCAGUGGCUCGGGCUACUUCAGUGAUCUCAGCUCACUCUCCAAAGCUGGUGUUGAUGCUCUUGGCCACUUGGUUACUGAGUUCUGUGUGUCCAUUCCUGAGUUGCUAAUUUCCAAUUUCAUUCCUUUAUGGUCUUAGAAGCUUGACCCUAAUUUAAGAAGCAGAGAGACUCAGAAUGAUUUUUAACUGUUCACUUCCACUAAACUGUGAUCCACUGGGUGAUUCCAACUCUGCCAGAAAUGGAAGCUGGGAACUAAAUCCAGGUCUCCCACUUGCAUGGCAGUGAUAGAUCUCUGUGAGUCGUCAUCUGCUGACUCCCAGGGUCUUCACUGGCAGAAAGCUGGAUUCAAACUGAGGCUCUGUAAUUGUGGGUGUCUCAAUGAGUGUUCCAACUACAAGGCAAAAUGCCCACACACAACAAUGUUUUUAACUGUCAAGGCAGGUCACCUCCAGCCUCCAGCAGUUGGACAGUUACCAUCGAAGUGUCCUUACCAUUUGCUGCAUUCAGCAGCUUCUCUCUUCCUGGUAAGCUGGUAUUUCUCGUAGUGGCCUAUAUUUCUCAUGUUCAGGGAUGCUCUUUUCGUUAUGACCUCAAUUCUUAGGCUAAUCUAAGAAGAGAAUUGGUGUGUGUUGUACUAUUUUCUUUUCUGAGAGUCUGAGACCUGAUGUUUGUCUUUACUCUGUUGUCUCCUGCAGCAGCAUGGGCUUAGUCUACAUUCUGAGCUCAAGAGCUGAGGGAGUGCAUCAGAGAAAGCAUGUUUGGGGGACAGGAGUUAACCCAAGCAACACCAAGUGACAUUAGAGCAAGUGGCAUCCAAAGAGGGUGCAGAUAGGGAUAAGUCGAGUCAGAAACUUCAGGGGACUCUCACAUAUGCCUGAUCCACCAUCCAAGUCCUCCAGGGGCAUCCUGAGUUGAGCAGUAAGGACUGGGAGAGGAACUUACUCCACAGUGACGUGUGUACCUGUCCAGGGAGCUGCUCUGAUGGACCCAGAUUAGGUUUACAGGGAGUGGAUGCACUGCCUCCUGGAGGAUGAGGCUGUGAGCCUGAGGCUCUGACCAGACACAGGAGCCUCAGUUCUGGGGCUGUCCUUGCAGGUGAUGCCCUCUAAGGAGAGUUGACUUAGAGAGAGCAGGUGGAACUUGAGGAAGGGAUGGGCAUGUCUGUUCUUACAUUGAAUAGUUCUUCCCUAAAGUCAGGUAUAUCAGGGUAAUGGGACCCUUCCUCUGAAGUGUUGGUACUAAGGAUAUUCUUCCGGGCUUUGAGUUGAGAAAGACUUUACACACAGUACUUUUUAGCUGUGACAAGUAUUUGGGAUUCAGCUAUCAAUGUGUCGCUGCAGAAACUCAAGACCGUGAAUGGUAUAUCACAGGUUGUUUUGCUAACAAUGUGAUGUUUCUGAUACACUGGAGGAUUCUGUCAGCCCAGAGCCUGGCAGGGUAGGACAAGCACAUUGGAGGUCAUGACAGUAAGAUGAAGAGAGGACUCCUCUUGUACAGAUAUUCUAGAAAAUUACCAGCAACAUGAAGCAAAUCUGUCAGCACAUGUGAAUGAAAAAACCAAAAGGGGAAAAGCUGUUAUCAAAUGAUCUCUUAAACAAACAUCAGACAGGCAGUGAAUCUGCAGCAUGUUUGAAUAUAAUUGUAGAGCAGUGUAUUUUUCUGUUUUUAUCAUAGCUCCCAAAGAGGAGUUCACUAUCUUUGGAUGGUGUAGGGCAGAGUUCUCCUUCAUGAAGGGAUCGUGCUGCAUCUGUGCUGAGAGCACAGUACACUUGACAGGACCUUAGGGAAGGAGUCUGUCUGUCAGGGUAUUAUAAUCACUUUGACUCACUGCUGACACACAGAAAUGGAUGCUGCCAAGAUUGCCCAGAAAACUAAUGAUAAUAAUAGCUAAUUUUUUUGGUUAAAAUAUUUUGAAAGAACUCAGAAAGUAUUCUGGGGAGUGCAACUGCUCAGUAAAAUUUUGGAAAGGCUGAGUCAUCUCACCUGACCUGCUGAGAGUCAGAAAACAGAAUAUUCAGAUUCCUGGUGCUUCUGGUGCAAGAAGUGAAGGCAGCUCCUGUUCAACAGGACUACCAUAAGCAAUGGGUUAAAAUACGUGAAGUAAAAGGAAUUGCUCCAGAAAAAAAUGUUACCCAUCAGAUUUUCUCAGAAUAUCAAAGAUGUUAAAAUAAUUAUCACAUAGCAGAGUACUGAUAGCAAUGCCACAUUGCAAUGUUAACUCUUGGACAGAUAUUCUAGAAAAUUACCAGCAACAUGAAGCAAAUCUGUAAGAACAUGUGAAUGAAAAAACGAAAAGGGGAAAAGCUGUUAUCAAAUGAUCCCUUAAACAAAUAUCAGACAGGCAGUGAAUAUGCAGCAUGUUUGAAUAUAAUUGUAGAGCAGUGUAUUUUUCUCUCCUAAGACUCUAGUCUUUAAAUUGGUCACAUCUCAGUUAAUAGGCUCAAUUCUCUGUACAGAAUACUUUAUAUCAGAUGAAUGUGUGCAUGUGUGUGUGCAUGUACAAGUGCAUUCUGAAGAGGAAAGGAGAUCAGAAAUAAUUGAGAACAAAAUAUUAUCUAAAUCAGAAUGAAAAUUUCCUUCAUGUCUCUCCCUUUGUAUUUUCAGAAAAGAGUUAUUUGCCAAAGAGUGAAUAUGAUGGCAUUGACUAAUGUUCUGACGAGGGCAGAAUAUUCUACUCCCAAAACAAUGUACCCAGUGGUUUUCAGCAAGGAAACUGUUAAAUUUCCCAAAGGAAUUCCUUACUGUUAGUAAGACUUCUGAAAAUUCACUAGUGAGAAUAAAUGCCACGAAAUCUAACAUUAGUACUCUGAACUGAAUUUGCUUAUGCCAUACCUCUAAAAAAUAAAUUGUAUUCUGCUAUGUUGCUAUGCCCAUUCAUGAGGCAUAACUAUUUUAAAGUAAAGCAUCUUGGGGAUUCCAGAAGAGCAGGAUGGGGAAAGGGUGUACUGCUUUAGGCUAGGGGAAAACAGUAAAAAAAAAUAGUGGAUGAAAUAUAUUCUUAGCGGAGACUUGGACAGCAAACUACAGGAAGUGCUGAGGAAGGAAGAAGGACACCGUGGAUCAUGGUGGAAAGCCCACGUGGAUGCAAAGCAGCAAGCACAGACACAGCACAUGACCCCAGGAGCCGAGAGCGGGAGACUGCACCAGCUUUGGAGAGUGAGGUAAGAUCAGUCUGCAGAAACCUGUGACACUGGUGAUCUAGCUGGAGGGAGAGCCUGGUCGACUGCACUGUCUGUGAAUGCGGCCUGGAGUCCUCAGUGGGACAGGGCACCCACUUACCCAGUGGGAAAAAGGGGCACAUUUCCCUCUCCCCAUUUCCCCACAAACAGGUGGCUGAGAGAGGGCAGGUAGAAUUAUGGGUGUAAGAGUAGCAGCUGAGCAGGUGUUGGACAGAUGGUGGGGAGGAGGAGAUGCCAUUAUGAAACGAGGAGGGGCUGUGGCGAGUGACUCUUGGUGCACGUGUGGGAUCCAUGGAUAUUGCCAGAGAACAAAGUCCCUGUUCCCCACUGACCUUGAGUCUGGCUGGGAGGAUUGAUGGGGGCUGUGCACCCAGGUAGGACUGUGAGGUACUCCCAGGCACUCAACAUAUCAGAGGCUCAGGGGCUCAAAACCCAAGGUGGAGCAGCCACAGAGAGCUGGUUCUGGGAACAUGGCUCUCUCCAUGGAUGGGUGGAGCAGAUCUUCUGCACGCCAUGGCUCAGAGAGGUUCCCCCAGGUAUCCCAGUUGGAUUCAGAGGCCCAAAGACAUGGGCCAUCUUCUCUGCUUUCCCACGUGGGAGAUGUGAAUGAAGCUCCUGGUUGCUGAGUUCAGUCUAGCUCAACCAUGGCAUCCAGGAUUCUCCUGGAAAACUUCUCUUUGGGGGAGGGUGUGUGGCACAGCAAUGACACCACCUGUUGGGACGCUCCCAUCCCAUAACAGAGGGCCUGAGUUCAAGUCCCAGCUCUCCUUCCAGUUCCAGUUUCCUGUAAUACCCACCCUGGGAGACAACAGGUAGUGGCUCAAGUUGUUGGGUCCUUGCCACUCACAUGGACCCAGGUUGAAUGCCUGGGUCCUGGCUUCUGCCUGGCCCAGCCAUGGAUGUUGUGUAUACUUGGAGGGCUAAACAAGGAUGGACGUUCUCCCCAUCUGGCCCUUUCUCUUUUGUGUGUCCCUGCCUUUCCAAUCAAUAAAAAAAUUGGGGGCCAGUGUUGUAGCAUAGUAGGUUCAGUCACCUUCUGUAAUGGCAGCAUCCCAUAUGGGCACUGGUUUGUAUGCAGGCUGUUCCACUUCUGAUCAGGAUUCUCCCGAAUGUCCUGGGGAAAGCAGUGGCACAUGGAACAAGUGCUUGGGGCCCUGCCACCCUCUUGGGAGACCGGGAAGUCUCGACUCCUGACUCCUGACUCCUGGCUUUGGCCUGCUCCCAUAGUGGUUGAUGCAACCACCUGGGAGUAAACCAGUUGGAUGGAGGAUCUCUCUAUGUCACACUCUGUGUAUCUUUGGCUUUCAAAUAAGUACCUAAUCAUAAAAAAAUAAAAAAAUUGUUUGUCACACUGGUCUUCCCUGUCCCAAAGGGCCUCUAACCUCAGGCCAGCAGGACUGGCGCUUUCCUGCAUUCUUGUCUUUUGAAGUUUGCUCUUUUUACUGGCAAGUACUUAAACAUGGGUUUCUUGCUAUCCCCUCCACACCAUGUCUAACAAACCAAGCUGCUGGUUUUCACAGACAGCCCCACACACUCUGGUAGCACUGCAAGGUCAAAGUUGUUAACCAUAAGCAAUUUUCAAAGAGAAAAAGACACAUAGAAUUCUUUUUCUCAAAUAAAACAUGAAACCUAAAUAUAAAAUUUUAAAGAAUAUUGACCCUCUAGUUUCUGCAGGAAACCGCCAUAACACAGGCCCCAGAGCAGUUUGCACAUCAGCUCUUUCUGAAAUCAAAGUCCCUUAAACUGUCAUUUAGAAGACCUUUCCUCAUUUCCUUUACAAUCCUGGGCAGGUUGAUGUCAAUAAAAUCCUUUUCAUCUGUAUUUUAAGAUAUGAAGCACACUUUCUUAAAUACCCUUAAUCCACUUACAAACUAAUGCUAAAACACAGUCUUUUUCUUUUAUUCUGUGUUUAAGGACUGAUCUAAUAAUAUUACUUAUGUUAUAGAAACUAGAAUGGAUUAGACUCUGUGCUCACUGGGUCCAGGCAAAUAGGUAAUCAAUUGGUAUUCCCUUACCUCUUCAUGAUGAACAUAAAUGUGGAAGUUUUCAUAGUGACUUUGCCAACCUAUCAGUGCCUACAGAGCAAGUAUCAACUGCUGUGGGUGUGAUCUACAGAAAGUGGAGUAUCAUCAUCCCAUUUAACACUAAUUCUGUGUAUUAUAAAGAGUUUAUUCAUUUCAUCGAAAUUAUUUAACUGGUCAGCAUGAAUUCCACCUUAUUUCUUUAUUAUUUCAAUAUCUGUAGGAUAAAAUUUUUUAUUUCUGCUAUUUGUUAUUUUUGUAUUUCCUUGUUAAAUUAUUCUAGUAAAGUUUUAGAAAUUCCCCUUUUUUCCCCAUAGACAAUAGUUACCAUCAUUAGUUUUCCUGUGUUCUUUGCUUUCAAUUUAAUUUUGUUCCACUCCACUUCUCUUUCUUUUGUUGUUACUGGUUUUAUCUACUUUCAUUUACUUCCUUAGGGUGUAUCAUCGAUUUAAACAUUUUCUAAUAAUAUCAUUUUAAACAUUAAUUUUCCUAUAAAUUCUGCUAUCCUGCAUGCCACAGAUUUCAAAAACCCAUGUUUUAAUUAUCAUUCAACUCAAAAUAUGUUUCAGUCCUGAGAUUUCUUUUGGAUUUGAAGAUUUAUUUAGAAGUGUAUUGCUUAAAAUGGUUGGAUAUUUUAAAAAUAUUUCCUUCUUACUGAUUUCUAAUAUAGUCCUGUUACAUUUGGACUGUUUUACUUUAUCUCUUUCAAAUUUAUUGAGAUUUAACUAUGACACUUUAUUUAUUUAUUUAUUUAUUUAUUGACAGGCAGAGUGGACAGUGAGAGAGAGAGACAGAGAGAAAGGUCUUCCUCUGCCGUUGGUUCACUCUCCAAUGGCCGCCGCGGCCGGCGCGCUGCGGCCGGCGCACCGCGCUGAUCCGAUGGCAGGAGCCAGGUACUUCUCCUGGUCUCCCAUGGGGUGCAGGGCCCAAGCACCUGGGCCAUCCUCCACUGCACUCCCUGGCCACAGCAGAGAGCUGGCCUGGAAGAGGGGCAACCGGGACAGAAUCCGGCGCCCCGACCGGGACUAGAACCCGGUGUGCCGGCGCCGCUAGGCGGAGGAUUAGCCUAGUGAGCCGUGGCGCCGGCCUAACUAUGACACUUUAAAAUACUGUCUAAUGAGUCAAUGUUUCAUGUGUACCUGAAAAUAACAUGUAUUUACAUUUCUGCAAAUAGAAUUCUAUAAAUGUUGAUUAGGAUGAGCUUAUUGAUAAUGAUUUUUUUAAAGAUUUAAUUUAUUUAUUUGAAAGGAACAGUUACAGAGAGAGGUAGAGAGAGAAAAGAGAGGUCUUCCAUCUGCUGCCUCAUUCCUCAUAGGGCUGGAAGUGCUGGAGCUGAGCCGAUCCGAAGCCAGGAGCCAGAAGCUUCUUCUGGGUCUCCCACAUGGGUGCAAGGGCCCAAGGAUUUGGGCCAUCUGCUGCUGCUUUCCCAGGCACAUUAACAGGGAGCUGGAUCAGAAGUGGAACAGCUGGGACUUGAACCAGAGCGUAUAUGGAAUGCCAGUGCUGCAAGUUAGGCUUUAACUGCUGCCCCACAGCGCCAGCCAUAACAAUGAUUUUUGAAAUGCAUGUUUUGUGCUCUUUUUUUCUAAUUUCAACAGUUACAAAAAUUAUGUGAGAAUCUCCAACUAUGAUUGGAGAUUUAUCAGUUUAUUUUCUCAGCUACAUUUUAAUUCAAAUAUUUUGAACUUACAGUAUUAUAGUGCUAUAGCUCAUUGAUAUAUUCACUAUUUAUCUUCAUAGAAUGGUAUGCUUUAUCUUGAGUUACUUUUUCCCUAGAUAUUAAGGGCACAGGAGUGGCGGUGGGGGCAUCCGUCCCAGGUGAGGAUUGCAGGAGUGAUGGAGGGCAGAUCCACCCCAGGUGAGGGGUGCAGGAGUGAUGGAGGGGAGAUCCUCCCUGGGUGAGGGGUGCAGGAGUGACAGAGGGGCAUCUGCCCCAGGUGAGCAGUGCAGGAGGGACAGAGGGCAGAUCUGCCCCAGGUGUGCAGUGCAGGAGGGACAGAGGGGGCAUCCGCCCCAAGUGAGAGGUGCAGGUGAGAUGGAGGGCAGAUCUGCCCCAGGUGAGUGGUGCAGGAGGGACAGAGGGCAGAUCUGCCCCAGGUGAGCAGUGCAGGAGGGACAGAGGGGGCAUCCACCCCAAGUGAGAGGUGCAGGUGAGAUGGAGGGCAGAUCCGCCCCAGGUGUGGGGUGCAGGUGUGAUUGAGGGGGCGUCCGGCCCAGGUGAGGGUUGCAGGAGUGACAGGGUAUCUGGCCCAGGUGAGGGGUACAGGAGUGUCAGAGGGGGCAUCUGCCCCGGGUGAGGGGUGCAGGAGUGAGGGAGGGCAGAUCCACCCCAGGUGAGGGGUGCAGGUGUGAUGGAGGGGGCAUCUGCCCCAGGUGAGGGGUGCAGGAGUGAUGGAGGGGGCAUCUGCCCCAGAUGAGGGGUGCAGGAGUAAUGGAGAGGACAUCCACCCCAGGUGAGGUGUGCAGGAGUGAUGGAGGGGGCAUCUGCCCCGGGUGAGGGGUGCAGGAGUGAGGGAGGGGACAUCCACCCCAGGUGAGGUGUGCAGGAGUGAUGGAGGGGGCAUCUGCCCCGGAUGAGGGGUGCAGGAAUGAGGGAGGGGACAUCCACCCCAGGUGAGGGGGUGCAGGUGUAAGAGGGAAGAUCUGCCACAGGUUCCCCGGCUCAGCGCUGUCCUGCGGGGAGCCCACGCGAUCCCGGGCACUGAACGGCUUCCUGUGCAGUAUGGGGCUUGGGCGGGAUCUCAUGGUGUAAAACUCAGGGCCGUUUUCCCCGCGGGCUCAAGGGCUUGGACUCCUGGCCCUCCCAGGCCGCGCUCCCAUGCUUGCGCAGACGCCUAACUUUUGCCAGACUCAACUGCACCUGGGUGAGAGCACCUGGGUAGUGGGGUCCCAGUGUCAUCACUAGCAGGGGUAUGGCAGGAAUGUGUGCAUCUGAACGCACACCCUGGCGCCACCCCACCCCAGCCCUGCUCCGGUUCCUAGCAACGCCUGGCCGCCCCCAGGGUCACGUGCCCGCCCCCGGCCUCCGCAGCCUGCGGCCGCCUGCCUGUCGCCCGCAUACGUGUGUGUGCACGCGUGUGCAGAGCGCCUGUAUUCUCCCCACACACACCGUGUGUGCCCCGUCCCCGGGGCACCGCCCUGUGUAUGCGGGCCCAGCAUGUGGGCCCGGCCGGUCUUACAGGGGCCCUAGCCUGCCUGCGGCAGGCAUGGCGUUCAGUGGAUGGCUUACAGCGGGGACAUGGUGGCUGUGCUGUUCGCGCUGCUGGGGCUCCCACAGCUGCACGCCAGGGGCACCUCUGUGGCAGGUGGGCACCGCUCAGGGACUGUGGAUGAGGCUACGAACCAGGGGAGGGGGCUACGAGCUGCCGCCACCGCGCUGGGGGCCCCGGGCCUGGGCUCGCAUCAGGAGGGUGGUCAGCCUGCAGGGCAGGGCCCUGGGUCUUGGAGGUCCCGCGGGUGGGGCCGCCGUCCCCCUCCAAGAUGCACGCAGCCAGGGCUGACCCCCACUUGGGACCCCGCUUGUGGCCCUCGGCUGCAGAUCACGGCUGCUGCCUGGGCAGGCUGGGCCCCGGGAUUAUCAUUCUUGCGGGGAUUUGACCCCGCGUUUGCGGGGUCUGCGGGGGCAUGCGGGCUCUCUCCUCUGCCUUUUGGGGGUGGGUCUCCCAAGGUCACCGCGAGGUCACCCAGGCCACUACAGGGAGCCCCGCCUGGAGCCCCAGGGCCCAGCUUAGAGCUCCCGGGCUGCUGCUGACCCACUUUGGUGGCUUCCUCUUCCAGGUCCCCAGCCUCGACCGAGUGUGGGGAACACGGGGCACCCCCAGGCAGUGCCGGGUUCCUUGCGGGGCCCCAGCGGAGCGUGCUCUGGCCCUGCCUGGCUUAGUCGACUGUACCUCAGGCUCAGGAGGUGUGCAGAGCAGCGGCGUGCAUGGGCGUGCGGUUCGUGGUGGGUUGUUGCUUCCAACUUGGCUCCCGGGCGCCUUAUAUGGGUGUUUGGGUCUUGCCCUUGCAAGCUUCUGUUUCCUGUGUGGGUCCUGGCCACGCUGGGUUGGCCACUUCCUGCUCCCUCCCGGGUCGGGGCCUGGCCAGCUUCGGUUCUCCAGAUGCACAGCCGUGGUCCCCCGCGGGGGUUAGCCCAGGAGGGCCGCACUCUGGCCCGCCCCAAGCAAACCCUUAAUCUCUGGCCUCUGGGGGAGCCUUGGCUUGGGGUGGGGCGGCAGAGGCAAGGACCCCAGCGGGUGGGACGCUCUGGAGCUGCAAUCCCGCCUUAGGGUGGGCUUGUAUAUAGAGGCCGUGCCUGGCCCCCUGCCCUCCUGGUCGCUCUAAUGAAGGUGACUCGAACCUGGGUUGCAGAUCACAUGGGCGGAGUUGAGCUGUGGCUUUUCUGAGUCUGUGGUCCAGGGUCAGACCCUGGUGGCUGGAUGUGGCGUGGACUGGAGCGACCAGGGCCCUCACCCCAGGGAUCUGGGCCACCGGUGUCCCCUUGGCGUCCAGCUGCUCUCGUCUGAGGCCAUGUCUGUCCCUUGAGGAGUGCCAGGUGGUGCAGACCUGUGGAGGGGCAGCCUGGUUCUCCACAAGGUGUCCACAUGGGUCCUUGGACACUGGGGCUGGGGCAGCUACAGCCAGGCUAGUACGGCCUCUCCUGGCACCGGUGGGUGGCUGGCGUGUUGGGGGACACCUCCGGCUUCACUUCUGGCCUGACUCAGCUCUGCCCGGGGCUGUGGGGUUUGCAGCUAGGAAGGGACCCUUUGCUCGGGGCCACCAGAAUUCCUGGGCUGCUCCUGCGACCUCCAGGUGGGCGAAAGAGGCAGGUGCCUGGUCCCUAGGGAGCUGCACUCUGCACAGGAGCCCUAGAGCUUCAGGACCCUGCCCCCAGGGGAGGGUGUUUAUGGACAGGAGCCCCUGCCUGACCCUGUCUGCCUUGGCCGUGUCCAGGAUACUCUGUUGUGUUCAAAGAAAGGGGGCGGCACCGUGGCUUACUUGGUUGACCCUCCGCCUGCGGCGCCGGCAUCCUAUGUGGGCACUGGGUUCUAGUCCUGGUUGCUCCUCUUCCAGUCCAGCUCUCUGCUGUGGCCCUGGAAGGCAGUAGAGGAUAGCCCAGUUGCUUGGGCCCUGUACCCGCAUAGGAGACCAGGAGGAAGCACCUGGCUCCUGGGUCAGAUCGGCGCAGCGCCAGCUGUAGCAGCGAUUUGGGGGGUGAACCAGCGGAAGGAAGACCCCUUCUCUGUGUGUGUGUGUCUCUCUCUUUCUGUCUGUCUCUCUCUCUCUCUCUCUGUGUCUCUCUCUCUCUUUCAUUGUCUGUCAAAAAAAAAAAAAAAAAAAGCUGGGGUCCAGCCACUGAUGAUGGCCUGAUUGCCUGGGCCAAAUAGAAAGCUGCAGGUGGCCAGAGGUGAGGGCCCUGCACCCCUCAUUGUUCUCACAGCUGCCUUGGGUCGCAGACCCAGCACCCAUCCUGUGACCUUAGGUGAGGGCCCUGCACCCCUCACUGUCCCCACAGAUGCCUUGUUUGCAGAGCCCAGUGCCCGUCUUAUGACCUUAGGGGGUCAACCCUAGCUGGACAUGCAUGUGCUCCCCCUGCUUGCCUUCUGCAGGGGUGGCCUGCUCCUGUUCUGUGGGGGCCUCACACUCUCGCCCUCUCCCCAUAGCUGGCUUUGUGAGGCCUCCACUGUCGUAGGAGGGGUGGGCGGUGG